GUUAACAAUUCUCCGCAAUGCGAAGGUUCCUUUUCCCCCGCGUGAAGCCUCCUUUUUCCGUGACGCGAAGCGAUCUGCGUUAGGGCUUUGUCGCCUCUCGCCGAUAAGAUCGCCAAGCCUCUUUUCCCCGAUCUGCGUUAGGGUUUUGUUCGCCUCUCGACGGUAAGAUCGCGAAGCCUCCUUUUCCCCAUCCUAAUCGAGUGAGUCUACCCUCGGCCAGACUGCGCCGCCGCCUGCGACCAAUAGCCUAUGCACCGCUCUCGUCCGCCCUUCCGGCUACCCCUGCUUCGAACACACGGUGUUGAAAUCUAUCUCUUUUGCUCUUUGAUUUGUUGGAGUGUGAUUGUUUGUUGACCUCUCUUUAACGAAAAUGUUUGUUCACAAAAGCAAUGGCGUGAGUAUUGGGGGACUGUAGAUUCGAAUUUGUUAUCGAGAAAACUCUGGAUUAGUGCUUGAUUGCUUGCAGACUUGUUGAUUGGUUAUAUUUUGUUGAUAUUUGGCAACUAUUAUCGAUCAUAUGUUCCUGCUUGCAUUGUCUAUAACCAUGGAUGAGUAACUAUUACCUGAUUCCAAAUCGCCCUUCCUCUCCUCCCACGCCAAGCUUAGUUCAAUGUAUGAAUUGAGCCACUGACAAUAUCUGUCAGAAACUUAAGGAUCUUAGGAACUCAUAUUUAAACAUAUAAGGAAAUGAAAAUGAACAGAGUGGUUGUUUCUUAGGGGCUCUUUUAACUUCGGGAAAAUAUUUUACAUUGGAAAGUUAAGACAUUGCUAAUGUAAGAGAAUUUGUCUAAGAUGAGGAUCAAAUAGAUAAAAGGGUGAAAAGGAUAAAUAGAUCUGUCUAUCGAAAUUACUCAUUAUUGUGUAAAUAUCUCAGCAAAAAUGUUUACUGAGAUAGAUGCCAUGGUUAUUUACAAUUCUGGACUGCAAAAUGGUGACUUUCUGAUAAUCCUAUGCUUCAAACUCCCUCUUAAGAACAACUAUGAUUGCCUUUGUAAAGUUUGUUAGAGAACAUCUAAGAUUUGGAAAGUGUUCCAUUUUAUUGCCUAGCAGUAAUUUUUUAUUUUAAAAUGUAAAUUUCACCUUUUUUGUGUGUAUUAGACAGUAAGAGAGAUACCAUGGUUGUUUACAAUGGACUUUCUAGUAAUCCUAUGCCUCAAACUCCCUCUUAAGAAGGAUUAUGAUUGCUCUUAUACAGUUUGUUAUAAAGCAUGUCAAUUUUGGUCCAACUCAUUAUCUAUCAAUAUUUUGAUUACAAAAUGUGAUUUUUGUCUUAUUUAUGUGAUAACCACUAUGUUAGAUGUAUUUUAUCUUAUCUUAUUUUACUUUCUUAUCUUGAUUUUGCUUAAUGGUUGCAUGGUCAUAAUACAAGUAACUCAAUUUUACUGGAUGCUUCUCUUGUGAUUGAUACCUCAAGAUAUUGGUAUCGAGCUUAGCGAAAUGGUGAAUUGGGAUGUUGUCUCUCUCUCAUUCAUUUACUUUGUUGAUCUUUUUUCAGAUUUAUCAAGAUGUGAAAAGUAUUGCUGUGUUAUUAGUUUUUCCAUUCUACUCAUAUGCACUUGAUUAGUUAGCGCAAAAUUAAGUUAUUCUUUUGAUGAUACUACUUAGCUUGAUGGGUUAGCAAACAAAAAAAACUUCUCUUCGGUUUCUUGAAACACAACUCCAACUGCUGAUAGACUAGUGAAAACGGUAGCUUGAGACUAAAGAUGGUUAUCUUUUGUCCAUUCAACAUGUUCAUCAUGGGGAAAAUUUUUUGGGAGAAAUGUCUGGUCCUUCUGUUUUCCUCCAACAUGGUCUUUUUAGGUAUUAACUCAAAGGCUCCUUUUGAUGUGGAUGUCUCUCAAAUUUGAAAAAUUGUUAUAUAAGAGUAUUUUGAUCAUAAUGUUAUGUAGUCCUUUGACUAUUUUUCUCGGCAUUUUGGGAUUGGAGUUGGCAAGAAUUGGGCACGACUAGCAAGCUAUGAUAAGCUAUGUAUAAUCUGUUACAAAUUCUAAAGAUUUCUACGUAGGCCAUUCCCAGGCACAUUUUCAACAUAGGCCAUUCCCAGGCACAUCAUGCCCAGGCAAGCUUUUAUUUUGUUAUGUGCAGGAAGCACAACAGCUCGUCUGAAUUCCAAUUAAGCAUUAUAUACUUGACCAAACUUUUGCCUUGUUGGACCCAAAUUGUAUUUUAAUGAUGUCUUUUAUGUUUGAUCGAGUUCUUCAAACUCCAAUCCAACCCAAGAUUUGCUGUUGGCCAUUUUGAGUCUUAAACUAACCAUCUGUUUGUAUCUACCUUUCCUUUUUGAGCAUCGUUAUUGACUUUUCGGUCUGAAUAUUCAACAUAUGAAAUUUAUCUUCCAGAUUAUGACACUUAUAAGUGGCUUUGAAAGGGUGUACACAGAGGCAUAUUUUCUGCCUGAUCAGUUGUACAAUGUUAGCGUAUGACCCCCAAUUAAGGUGGCAUUUGGUGUAGAGUGCAAGAAUGGGAAUGAGAAUGGAUUUGAUAGUAGAUUGGAAUGGUGGUUGAGCACGUCGGCCAUGGUCUUGCCGGAGAUGCAUAUCACCAUCCUCUCCCACCAUCGGGGGCGUUGGCGUUGAACUUGGUCAGCACAUUUUUGAAGCUCUUGUUCUGCUCAUGUGUUGCACCCCUUCGGGCAGAGGAACAAGAUCGUGCUGGGGUAGCGAGGCGCUGCCAUCGCUGACGGGAGAACCUCCAUCCAUGGUGGCGCCAUUAAUCGAAAUCAAGAACACGAGAAGGAGGAUUAAGAUGGAAAGAAAUCAAGAACACGAGAAGGAGGAUUAAGAUGGAAAGGUGAGGCCUUCCCCCCUUUCCUCUCCCAAAAGAUCGAAACUUCUACACUCGUAGAGAUUUCUUGUUUGAUCAAUUGCAGAAAUCAAGAAGAACAUGAUCAGAUCUCUCGGAGAAGGCCUUUCCUCCUCUUUCUCUAUCAAAACUCCUGAUCGAAACUUCCAAGGAUUUUUCCCUUGAUUACCGACCGAAAAGGAUGAGAUUUCCAAUGAUACUUUCUCCUCCUCCGCUCCCAAAAGAUCAAAACUUUAAACACUUGUAGAUACAUUUUGUCCUUUGCUAUAAAUUGAUGAUUCGAAUGCACUAAUUAAUGUUCAUUUUAUUCACUAAUUAAUGCUCAUUUUAUUCA